CGGGCGGCUGCAGCAGUGGGGAAUAUUGGACAAUGGGGGAAACCCUGAUCCAGCAAUGCCGCGUGUGUGAAGAAGGCCUGCGGGUUGUAAAGCACUUUCGGUUGGGAGGACUGCUUCUAGCACUAAUAUUGUUGGAAGUUGACGUUACCUUCAGAAGAAGCACCGGCUAACUCCGUGCCAGCAGCCGCGGUAAUACGGAGGGUACAAGCGUUAAUCGGAAUUACUGGGCGUAAAGCGCGCGUAGGCGGCUAGAUCAGUCGGGUGUGAAAGCCCCGGGCUUAACCUGGGAACUGCAUCCGAUACUGUCUAGCUUGAGUACAGGAGAGGAGAGUGGAAUUCCACAUGUAGCGGUGAAAUGCGUAGAUAUGUGGAGGAACACCAAUGGCGAAGGCAGCUCUCUGGCCUGAUACUGACGCUGAGGUGCGAAAGCGUGGGGAGCAAACAGGAUUAGAUACCCUCGUAGUC
rnacentral:rRNA from 1 species